rnacentral:rRNA from 1 species
CAGUAGCCGCGGUAAUACGUAGGGUGCGAGCGUUAAUCGGAAUUACUGGGCGUAAAGCGUGCGCAGGCGGUUAUAUAAGAUAGAUGUGAAAUCCCCGGGCUCAACCUGGGACCUGCAUUUGUGACUGUAUAGCUAGAGUACGGUAGAGGGGGAUGGAAUUCCGCGUGUAGCAGUGAAAUGCGUAGAUAUGCGGAGGAACACCGAUGGCGAAGGCAAUCCCCUGGACCUGUACUGACGCUCAUGCACGAAAGCGUGGGGAGCAAACAGGAUUAGAUACCCCCGUAGUCCCUGUCUCUUAUAC